rnacentral:rRNA from 1 species
UACGUAGGUCCCGAGCGUUGUCCGGAUUUAUUGGGCGUAAAGCGCGCGCAGGUGGUUCCUUAAGUCUGAUGUGAAAGCCCCCGGCUCAACCGGGGAGGGUCAUUGGAAACUGGAGAACUUGAGUGCAGAAGAGGAGAGUGGAAUUCCACGUGUAGCGGUGAAAUGCGUAGAUAUGUGGAGGAACACCAGUGGCGAAGGCGACUCUCUGGUCUGUAACUGACGCUGAGGCUCGAAAGCGUGGGGAGCAAACAGG